rnacentral:rRNA from 1 species
GAUGAACGCUGGCGGCGUGCCUAAUACAUGCAAGUAGAACGCUGAAGGAAGGAGCUUGCUCUUUCCGGAUGAGUUGCGAACGGGUGAGUAACGCGUAGGUAACCUGCCUGGUAGCGGGGGAUAACUAUUGGAAACGAUAGCUAAUACCGCAUAACAGUAGAUGUUGCAUGAUAUCUACUUAAAAGGUGCAAUUGCACCACUACCAGAUGGACCUGCGUUGUAUUAGCUAGUUGGUGAGGUAACGGCUCACCAAGGCGACGAUACAUAGCCGACCUGAGAGGGUGAUCGGCCACCCUGGGACUGAGACACGGCCCAGACUCCUACGGGAGGCAGCAGUAGGGAAUCUUCGGCAAUGGACGGAAGUCUGACCGAGCAACGCCGCGUGAGUGAAGAAGGUUUUCGAAUCGUAAAGCUCUGUUGUAAGAGAAGAACGAGUGUGAGAGUGGAAAGUUCACACUGUGACGGUAUCUUACCAGAAAGGGACGGCUAACUACGUG